rnacentral:tRNA from 1 species
GAGAUGGCUAAGUGGUUGAUUGCUCCGGUCUUGAAAACCGGUAUAGUUCUAGGAACUAUCGAGGGUUCGAAUCCCUCUCUC